UCCAAUGAUGAUAUAAUCCGUUUGUCUGAGACAUUGUGGAUCCAAGACCCUGUUUCAGGGAGAACCUACUUGGUGAAGCCUUGUUCAUAUGAUAUCAAUGGAUUUAACUGAGGG